AGAGUUUGAUCCUGGCUCAGCAUGAACGCUGGCGGCAUGCCUAACACAUGCAAGUCGAACGAAGNCUUCGGGUUUAGUGGGGCACGGGUGCGUAACGCGUGGGAAUCUGCCCCUUGGUUCGGAAUAACAGCUGGAAACGACUGCUAAUACCGGAUGAUGACGUAAGUCCAAAGAUUUAUCGCCGAGGGAUGAGCCCGCGUAGGAUUAGGUAGUUGGUGUGGUAAAGGCGCACCAAGCCGACGAUCCUUAGCUGGUCUGAGAGGAUGAUCAGCCACACUGGGACUGAGACACGGCCCAGACUCUCUACGGGAGGCAGCAGUGGGGAAUAUUGGACAAUGGCGAAAGCCUGAUCCAGCAAUGCCGCGUGAGUGAUGAAGGCCUUAGGGUUGUAAAGCUCUUUUACCCGGGAUGAUAAUGACA
rnacentral:rRNA from 1 species